CCUACGGGGGGCAGCAGUGGGGAAUAUUGCACAAUGGGCGCAAGCCUGAUGCAGCCAUGCCGCGUGUGUGAAGAAGGCCUUCGGGUUGUAAAGCACUUUCAGCGGGGAGGAAGGCGUUAAGGUUAAUAACCUUGGCGAUUGACGUUACCCGCAGAAGAAGCACCGGCUAACUCCGUGCCAGCAGCCGCGGUAAUACGGAGGGUGCAAGCGUUAAUCGGAGUUACUGGGCGUAAAGCGCACGCAGGCGGUCUGUCAAGUCGGAUGUGAAAUCCCCGGGCUCAACCUGGGAACUGCAUUCGAAACUGGCAGGCUAGAGUCUUGUAGAGGGUGGUAGAAUUCCAGGUGUAGCGGUGAAAUGCGUAGAGAUCUGGAGGAAUACCGGUGGCGAAGGCGGCCCCCUGGACAAAGACUGACGCUCAGGUGCGAAAGCGUGGGGAGCAAACAGGAUUAGAUACCCCAGUAGUC
rnacentral:rRNA from 1 species